AGUGAACGCUGGCGGUAGGCCUAACACAUGCAAGUCGAACGGCAGCACAGUAAGAGCUUGCUCUUACGGGUGGCGAGUGGCGGACGGGUGAGGAAUACAUCGGAAUCUACUUUUUCGUGGGGGAUAACGUAGGGAAACUUACGCUAAUACCGCAUGCGACCUACGGGUGAAAGCAGGGGAUCUUCGGACCUUGGGCGAUUGAAUGAGCCGAUGUCGGAUUAGCUAGUUGGCGGGGUAAAGGCCCACCAAGGCGACGAUCCGUAGCUGGUCUGAGAGGAUGAUCAGCCACACUGGAACUGAGACACGGUCCAGACUCCUACGGGAGGCAGCAGUGGGGAAUAUUGGACAAUGGGCGCAAGCCUGAUCCAGCCAUACCGCGUGGGUGAAGAAGGCCUUCGGGUUGUAAAGCCCUUUUGUUGGGAAAGAAAAGCAGCAGGUUAAUACCCCGCUGUUCUGACGGUACCCAAAGAAUAAGCACCGGCUAACUUCGUG
rnacentral:rRNA from 1 species